rnacentral:rRNA from 1 species
UGCCCAGACUCCUACGGGAGGCAGCAGUGGGGAAUAUUGGGCAAUGGGCGCAAGCCUGACCCAGCAACGCCGCGUGAAGGAAGAAGGCUUUCGGGUUGUAAACUUCUUUUAAGAGGGAAGAGCAGAAGACGGUACCUCUUGAAUAAGCCACGGCUAACUCCGUGCCAGCAGCCGCGGUAAUACGGAGGAUCCGAGCGUUAUCCGGAUUCAUUGGGUUUAAAGGGUGCGUAGGUUGUUUUAUAAGUUAGCGGUGAAAUGCCGAUGCUCAACAUCGGGGCUGCCGCUAAUACUGUAGGACUAGAGAUCGGAUGCAGCAGGCGGAAUGUGUAGUGUAGCGGUGAAAUGCAUAGAUAUUACACAGAACACCGAUUGCGAAGGCAGCUUGCUAGGCCGGAUCUGACACUGAUGCACGAAAGCGUGGGGAUCGAACAGGAUUAGAUACCCCAGUAAC